GGGGGCGACCGGUUUCGACGUGGGUCGCGAAACCCAGCGUGCAUGCCGAGGGGCAGACAAACUCGCAAAACCAGCUGCAAACCCUAUAGUUGCCAACGACGACAACUACGCACUAGCUGCCUAAGAACCAGCUACUUGCCUUCUGCCCGGGUCGUGCUUGUGCGUCCGGAUCCAGGAGUCAUCUUCACAAGCUCGCGCCAGGGCAGGUUCGGGGCCCGAACGCCAAAACUUCACCGAACUGGCUCUGGGUUGUCCCCGUCCGUCGGGUAGCGCAGAGCAAGAACAAAGGCGGAAUAAGCAUGUAGAGCGCCGGGCGGAGGGCUUGCGGACGCGGGUUCGAUUCCCGCCGCCUCCACCA
rnacentral:tmRNA from 1 species